GUCUCGAACUCGCCAGACUUCGCUUUCUAGGAGACUUCACUCCACGCUUGCUCCUCUUUGUUUUCUCUGUAACUCUUCCGUCACUUCUCAGACACCUUGUGUUCCGCCCACGCUUCGCUUCUUCGUUCGAUCUUCGCUUUGGAUUUUCCGAUUAGUUCGUUUAGGGUCUCCAUUGCAGAGUUUGUAAGAUCGCAAACAUGCAUGCGCCAGUACUUGUUCUCAAGGAUUCUCUGAAACGUGAAUCGGGAAGCAAGGUACAGCAUGCUAAUAUCCAGGCUUCAAAGGGAUUGUUGUUACUAAUGAUGGGAAUGCUAUUUUGCGUGAGUUAGAUCUUGCACACCCGGCUGCAAAGGCAU